rnacentral:rRNA from 1 species
GAUGAACGCUGGCGGCGUGCUUAACACAUGCAAGUCGAACGGUGAAGGCGGAGCUUGCUCUGCUGGAUCAGUGGCGAACGGGUGAGUAACACGUGAGCAAUCUGCCCCUGACUCUGGGAUAAGCGCUGGAAACGGCGUCUAAUACUGGAUACGAGCUGCGAAGGCAUCUUCAGCAGCUGGAAAGAACUUCGGUCAGGGAUGAGCUCGCGGCCUAUCAGCUUGUUGGUGAGGUAAUGGCUCACCAAGGCGUCGACGGGUAGCCGGCCUGAGAGGGUGACCGGCCACACUGGGACUGAGACACGGCCCAGACUCCUACGGGAGGCAGCAGUGGGGAAUAUUGCACAAUGGGCGCAAGCCUGAUGCAGCAACGCCGCGUGAGGGACGACGGCCUUCGGGUUGUAAACCUCUUUUAGCAGGGAAGAAGCGAAAGUGACGGUACCUGCAGAAAAAGCGCCGGCUAACUACGUG